GUAGCUUGGGGGUCGGGGCCUAUUCUGGGGUCGAGCGGAUGAGAGGGGGGGGGGGACCUCRAUUCAGCGGSGGACGGSCGCAUAAGCCUAGGAAUCUGCCUAGUAGUGGGGGACAACGUUUCGAAGGAACGCUAAUACCGCAUACGUCCUACGGGAGAAGUGGGGGAUCUUCGGACCUCACGCUAUUAGAUGAGCCUAGGUCGGAUUACUAGUUGGAGGGUAAAGGCCUACCUGGCGACGAUCCGUAACUGGUCUGAGAGGAUGAUCAGUCACACUGGAACUGAGACACGGUCCAGACUCCUACGGGAGGC
rnacentral:rRNA from 1 species